UGCAGUGGAGCGACGAACCGGCUUCGGCCUGGGGCAAAGCCGCGAACGGGUGAGUAACACGUGGGUAACCUGCCCCGAUGAUCGGGACAACCCGAGGAAACUCGGGCUAAUACCGAAUGUGCCCUCCGGCCACAAGGCCGCUGGGGAAAGGAAGCUUCGGCCUCCGCAUCAGGAUGGGCCCGCGGCCCAUUAGCUUGUUGGUGAGGUAAAGGCUUACCAAGGCGACGAUGGGUAGCUGGUCUGAGAGGACGAUCAGCCACACUGGGACUGAGACACGGCCCAGACUCCUACGGGAGGCAGCAGUGGGGAAUCUUGCGCAAUGCGCGAAAGCGUGACGCAGCAACGCCGCGUGGGGGAAGAAGGCCUUCGGGUUGUAAACCCCUUUCAGUUGGGACGAAGCUUCGUCGGUGAACGCCGGCUGGAGUGACGGUACCUUCAGAAGAAGCCCCGGCUAACUACGUGCCAGCAGCCGCGGUAAUACGUAGGGGCGAGCGUUGUCCGGAAUUAUUGGGCGUAAAGAGCGUGUAGGCGGCUCGUAAUCCGCUCUGAAAGCCCGGGGCUCACCCCGGGAGGCGGGCGGAUACUGCGGGUAAGUCCGGAAGAGGCGAGUGGAAUUCCCGGUGUAGCGGUGAAAUGCGCAAUAUCGGGAGGAACACCAAUGGCGAAGCGCUCGCUGGGACGGUACUGACGCUGAACCGAAAGCGUGGGGACAAACAGGAUUAGAUACCCUGAUCCACGCUGUAAACAUGGGCACUAGGUGGGGGGGUGCAUC
rnacentral:rRNA from 1 species